CCCGCCCACUCCCGUCCAUUCCAAACCCUACUUCCCCAAAUCACAGACCCACCGCCGCCGCCACCCCCGCCCCCCACUCCACCGCCGUCCCUUCCUAACCCUACUUCUGGCCGGCCCGUUCUCCCCUUCCCUGUGCGCCGCCGCCCUACCUCUCUUCCUCCGCUCAGCUGCCAUUUCCAUGGAAGCGGCCCGACCUGGUCAUUGCCGGAUCUGGCGGUCUGGCCGCACUGGUGGUCGAUGCUGCCGGAUCUGGCCGCUCCGGGCCUCAUCAACGCCGCCCCGGUUGUUCACCUCCCCAUCACCGCUUUUCCCAUCGUCAUCCCGUCCGCCUCGUCCAAAUCAGCUGAGAGGGUAGUCGCCUGUCUCCUGAGGAGUUCGUCCCCGACGGCCUCUCCAAGGACUCCCUCCCCCUCACUCCCAACGCCACUGCCUUCGGAACAUGUCCUCUUCUUCGUGGCAUCCAGUUCAAGAAGGGUCAACCGCGAGCUGCAUCGACAUCGAGUCGAGCGUUCCUCUUCUUCGUCGGGCCUGCACCAUCUCGGGGUGCAGCCGUGCAGCACCUGCUGCUGUGGAGGACGGAUGGCGCGGUGCUGGUAGAGCUGCUCCGGGCCUGCCCAGUCGAGCUCAACCACUAAUUGUUCAACCAAGCGCUGCACCACCACUUCCUCUACACUCGCUACCAGUGAGCACCACAACGCAUCUAUCAUCAUCGAGCUCAUCACCUGUAUGUAUGGAUCAAGAUGCUAUCACCUGUUUGUUUCCCUGUAUGUCUUUUCGGAGUUAACAAGGAUACUCACGGUCCAACGCACCAACUAAAUCUUUUGUUCCUUAGGUGCUUCUUCACAUAUUUUAUUAAGGAAUAUAGAUGAAUGGCUUCUAUCAGCGGCAAUUAACAAAAAAGCUUGAGAUUUGUUAAAAACUAGAGGAGAUACAUUGGUGGCUUGGUCUCUUGUAGAUGCCUGGAUAGAUGGAUGGCUUCUAGCGCCUUGCCGGCGAGGCAUGGGCUGGACAGCCAGAAUCAACCUGCCGGUUCCAAAAUGCAAAACGGCAGAUUGAUCAAAACAGAACAUGAUUCAUUUCGAUUUUAGUUUUUAAGCUGGUUGAUUGAGCAUGAACAGGUUACAGGUACAGAAAUAUCAUGUAGGCUGAUGCCCAAUGGCAUAAACAACAUUAUUUUCUUCAAGUAGAUUAUUCCUUGGAAUUGGAUUCUUCAGCUAGUGAAAACCAACACUACUAUUUUUCUAAAAAAACAUCACUACUAACUAUCAUAUGACUAUACUAGUAAGCUUGCACGUGCAACGCAUGUCUUGCUUUAUACUCUAGUAUUAAUUUUGUUUCAGAUAUUUACAAACAUUAAAGAAGAAAAGUUGUGUCUUUUUAUCCAAAUAAUUACAAAUGAUGGUGACUGUUUUGCUUGGAUUUAUUCUAUGCCAACAGUUCAGAAGAAUUUACAAUUUACCAUGGAUGCCCAGGAACGGUCUUAAAUAUACAAACUUACACACAAAUAAUUAUACUAUAAAGUCCAAUCAUACAGGGUAAUAAUAGGAAUGUGAUGAAGAGAUUAUCCAUCAGUAAGGAUACUGGUAUCAGUAGUAUACAUGUUCUUUGAUGUGUUCAUCUUUUGAGCAAAUAAGUCUAGCAAUGCAAGUGAAGACACAAAGAAAACUUGGAAACUGUCAGGAACUGGUGCCCAUGGCAACAAGGCAGGACAUGUGUGUACAAUUGGAUCAUAUUCUGGUAGUACAUCAAAUGUGCCGGUUAAUUGUACAAUUAUUUCUUCCACAUUGAAAAACAACCUGACUUUUUUUCCUGAAACAUACUUAUAAUACAACUAUUAAUGGUACCAAAUGUUAGUGAAAUCAUGCCUUGCCGGAAUUUUCCUUGUUUCUUAUGAUAGUGUGACAAGUAAGCCUCCAUGACUCCGGUUUCUGACCAAGCCAAUGAGCUGCAUAGAGUAGAGUUAAUUGACAACUUUACAAUAAAAUCAUCAAGCACAAUCUUCGUGGGUGAAUAGUGUUACAGUGAAUAAUAGUGUUAUAUCAUGAGGUUGCAAACUUGCAAUACAAAAUAGUGGUAAAUCAAUAAUAAUUAUGUAUAAGCAUGCAUGAGACCAAUAUUCGGCCUCCAGUACAUAUUAGUGGCAAAUCAAUAAAUAAAUCAUCAAGCACAAUCUUCGUGGGUGAAUAGUGUUACAGUGCAUAAUAGUGUUAUAUCACGAGGUUGCAAACUUGCAAUACAAAAUAGUGUUUAAUCAAUAAUAAUUGUGUAUAAGCAUGCAUGAGACCAAUAUUCGGCCUCCAGUACAUAUUAGUGGCAAAUCAAUAAAAAAAUCUGUAUAAGAAUGAGAGAAAAUUAGGAGAGCACCUAAGCAUACGUGUGUAGGUCACAUACCAAGAAUUGGCAUAAUUAGCACGCACAAGCGUCAGGAGAAUCCACCAGUUCUUCAAUCAACAAAAAGAAAGCCACCUCCAUCCUCCAACCAAUAUUAAUGGAAUCAAUUGAGAAAUCAGCAUAUAGAUUUUGGAGGUGCUGCCGGCGUCGGGGUUCCCGGUGGGAGAGGAGCGGCGCGUCACUGUUUCAAAUGAGUCAAUGAGACAAUAAAGCUCCAGAUUUUUAACAAAAUAAACAAUCAAACUGGUUUAAGAUGCAAGGUUCAUGACUUCCACAAAAAGAGCUCUUUUGGGAUUGUAAGAUGCAUCAGCUCAAAUUAGGAACUAUCAUCCUCACCGUUUCCAACAAAAAGGAAAUGAUAGGAGAACCAGUAAUUCACAUUUGCUUCACCAUGAAACCUUGAGCAUGCUGCAAUUUUUUCAACGACUGCACGUAAUUUGGCAAUUGAAUAGGAAAAUGGGUUCAAAGAUGACAUAAGCUAUGUAGGUAAAGGGCAGAAAAGUCACACUGGCAUCUUCAAUUGCAAAUGGAAAUAAUUUCACUGAAAUAAAGAAGCAAAAUCAACCAAUAUUGACUCGACCGAAACCUAAAUAAAGAAGCAAGGGUCAUGAACAUGUACAUCAAACCUCAGUAUUAUUGAAAUCCGUCGCAUGCAUAGAAUAGUGGAGCAUUGACCUGCAAAGUAACCUGGGCUCAGGUGUUCAGCCAUCUCAGUCUCCCCCAUCCUCAUGGCUAGCAUAAUUGGACUUUAACACAGUGCCAAAUGGAAGUCAUUUAUUUUUUUGGAAAACGGAGUCAUUCUCUCCGUCCAGUUAGUUUCACAGUUGAAUCCAUCUACAGGAAUCAACUAUUUGCAUGUGGCAAUCUAUUAAAGGCAGAAACACAUCGUCAAGCAUGAUCUUUCACGGAUCUACAUACAUUUAUAUGUUCGCUUUAUCAAAUCAAAGAAAGAUUAAAUUGGUCCAUCCAGAGCUUACACACGACCAUCAAACAACGUGUCUACCUUUUACAUGGAGGAUUCAGAUGAAGGAAUUCUCUCCAAAGCCUCCUCACGUACGCAUGGUGCUAGAGAUCUCGCUGUUGAGGGAGCACGGCAGGGAGAAGAGGCGCCGGGGCGGGGCGUGGCAGGCCCGGGUAGCGUGACAUGGCGGGAGGGGGCCUCAGCGGGAGCGCAGGCGCGCGGGGGGCGAGACAGGGGCGGCGGCGGGCCGGGGCGCGGCGGCGCCGCGGUGCGCGGCAUGCUGCGCGCGGCACGACACGAGGUCGGGGGUGCGGCGGCUUCUGCACCCUGGUGGGCGCGGCGGCGGGCGGGGAGCGAGGGUGGGGAUGGUGCUUAUCUUAGGGUGCGUGAUUACAGGGAUGCAUUGCGUGACUAUAUGAGGGUGAGUAAUUUUCACGAUUCCUUUUCUCGUGCUAUUACGGGCGAUGCAUUUGCGGAAGCCCGGCGUGAAGUUUCCUCUGCGGGGCUGUGGAGUAUGGUCAGACAAUCUAAAUUAUUACGUACACACGGGAGGAUAGAUUAGAUUAAGGCUAGCCGUUAGAUUAAGUUUAGUGGACCUAAUCACACGGUGAUACUGCAUCCGUGUACGUUUUGUGAGGUGCACCUAAGAAAGUUCUUGUUCAUUUGUUUAAUAGUAGUGGAGAUGAGGUGAACAGGAUUCAGAUUUCAGAAAGGGAAAUUACCUUGGUGGCAGGUGGCUUGGUCUCUUGACUCUUGUAGAUGCCCAGUGUCUGGCGAGGCCGCAGGGGGCGAGCCGAACGAUCCGGAGCAGCGGGCGAAACCGCGGAAGGCGGACCGUUCAGUUCUGCGUACAUUUUUGAAGAUGGAGGUGGAUUAUAAUGCUUUGGUGAUAAUAACACCAACCUUACAGCAAUAUCAUUUAUGAAUAACUACGACAAGGUUUCCUAAAGGUACACAAGUUCACUAAGGUUUGUAAGAUCUUCAAGCUGCUGGGAAUUUGGAAGACCUACAAUUAAGAUGGAGUGAUAAUGUCAUAUGUCUUGUUUGUUGAACCUAGAGAUUUGCUUUGCUCAUUUUGGUGCUUGUUAAGCUCAUUUUGUUUGUGUGGCACACAUCUAGAAACAUAUGUACAUAUGCUAUUGUGGCACUACAUUAUUUUGGUUGUGGCAAACAUAUAUGUACAGCCUCCUUAUAUAUGGUUGUUUUGUUUAUCGAAUGAAGUUUAAGAUUUCGAUGAA